GACGAACGCUGGCGGCGUGCUUAACACAUGCAAGUCGAACGGAAAGGCCCUGCUUUUGUGGGGUGCUCGAGUGGCGAACGGGUGAGUAACACGUGAGUAGCCUGCCCUUGACUUUGGGAUAACUUCAGGAAACUGGGGCUAAUACCGGAUAGGAGCUCCUGCUGCAUGGUGGGGGUUGGAAAGUUUCGGCGGUUGGGGAUGGACUCGCGGCUUAUCAGCUUGUUGGUGGGGUAGUGGCUUACCAAGGCUUUGACGGGUAGCCGGCCUGAGAGGGUGACCGGCCACAUUGGGACUGGGGUACGGCCCAGCCUCCUCCGGGAGGCAGCAGUGGGAAAUAUUGCACAAUGGGCGGAAGCCUGAUGCAGAAACGCCGCGUGCGGGAUGACGGCCUUCGGGUUGUAAACCGCUUUCGCCUGUGACGAGGCGUGAGUGACGGUAAUGGGUAAAGAAGCACCGGCUAACUACGUG
rnacentral:rRNA from 1 species